GAGUUUGAUCCUGGCUCAGGAUGGACGCUGGCGGCGUGCUUAACACAUGCAAGUCGAACGGAGAGCAAAUGACAGAGGAUUCGUCCAAUGGAUUUAGUUUCUUAGUGGCGGACGGGUGAGUAACGCGUGAGGAACCUGCCUCGGAGUGGGGAAUAACACAACGAAAGCUGUGCUAAUACCGCAUGAUGCAGCUGGGUCCAUGACUCUGGCUGACCAAAGUAUUUACGCUCUGAGAUGGCCUCGCGUCUGAUUAG
rnacentral:rRNA from 1 species